CUGUGGACUCUGGCGCGCGAGGCAGCCGCAAGCCCAGCAAGUCCGUUAGGCCGCCUGGGCGGGCCUCCCGCCAGCGACGGGGUGGGGAGACUGCAGCUACUCUGCUCCCCAGGAGCCGGCUCCAUGGUCUGAGCUGUCACCUGCGGGGCAGCCCGUGAUUCAUCCACCUACCGUUACAUCAUCUCAUCCCUUCCAAACCAUACGGUUCUGACGUCAGAGGGCCUCUCCAGUUCCCACGGACCGGACCGGUGCUGCUAGAGAUGGUGCUUCUGCUGCAACCUCUGGCUCCCGCCAGGUUGCUGGGCUCCUCUUGCUCCUUGGAGAAGACCCUGCAGUGCAGCUGCUCCUUCCACGGCAUCCCCACUCCCUCCGUGCAGUGGUGGAUGGGAGGUGCCCCUGUGGGUGUGAACAGUGUGAGUGGCCGCCUCCAGGUGACCUCCACUGUGCUUGGCCCCUGGGCCAACAGCACCAUCCACCUGGCCAGUGAGCCAGAAAUGGGCACGAGCCUUCUCUGCGAGGGGAAGAACGAAAACGGAACCCAUGCUCUGAGCAUCCUGCUGAUGUCACGAAAGAGCUCUUUGGCGCCCCAGACCUUCCUGAAAGGGCUGAUCCAGGGUGCCGUGUACGGGGCCACAGCCAUUGCACUUCUCUUCUUCUGCCUCCUCCCCGUCAUAGUGAAACAUGCCAGAACGGAGAAGGCGGCCAAAGCCAGAAAAAGCCGCAAGGUCAGAGUCGGCCAGAAACCCGGGAUGGCCCUGAAGCCUGCCGAGCCAGGAAAAGCCGUAGCUGUUCCCGCCGUCUGAGACCUGGAUGUUGGUGACUACCCGCUGUGUCUGAGCCCACCAGGAUAACGACAGCGAAGUCCACGCCGAGGCACAUACAGAACCACCUGAUCUCUAUGCUGAGCAAUGCUGUGGUCACACAAGUGGGUCAAACCCGGGCCUUGCCCUCAGAGAGCACCCAGGCUGGAAAGGCAAGAUAAACUGGAGACAGCAACCCUGUGGGAACUACAUCGUACCUGGCACCCCACUGUCCCUGGAAUUACAGACGUCCACAAAAUCCACAGAAUCCAUAGAAAUUCUGGGGCCAUAAUAAAGUUGGAACCCCUGGAGUGUCCUCAGGCCCCAAAACCCUUUCAACCCCUACCUGUCCCUCAGGCUGUCUGUCCAUUAAAUAGGGGUCACCAUUAGAUCUGGUCUUGGAACUUUUGAAGGCAAACUCCAUGAUCUGUUGAUUGGGUUAGCCAGAAGAAACAUGCCCCCCUCCAAAUAAUGUCAAAGGAAGAACAAAAAUACACUUGAGACUAUAAAACAGGUCCAGCAGAAAAUAGCUUUGGCACACCUACUGUGUGCCUAGACUGUGUGCACAUGUAAGAAUACCAGGCUUUGAAGCCAUCAUCUUUGGAUUGAACUCCGACUUCAGUGCUCAGUGGCUGUAUGCCUGUGACUUCCCUCACCCCCCACACACACACUUUUAACUUCAGU